AUGUGCACGUGGCCGACUCUGAAGACACAGUACUGUGUAUAAUAAGACUCCGUCCGCCUUUUCUUCUACGUUCAUGAUGUAAGCAAAAAAC